GGCUCCCAGGAUCACACAUAUCAUCUCUACUCAAGCACUUGCAGGAAUUUGUGACAAUGUCGUCGCUGGAGUCUACAUCCAAGCAAACAGUGGUGCCAUUCCCCAGCUUAGUUGACAGGUACAUCUUUGAAUCUGAAAUGCUUUCCCAAUUUGACCCUGGGUUAGAACAUAUCACACUAAGUUUUGCAGGCUUCCCCAGCCCAACUGCUUGAAGGCAGAGGUAUGUUCCCUUUAUUAUUAAGAUCUUCUGGGGGGUGUAGCCCCAGGCUUCCGACUCGGUGCAUGGACCCAGCUUUAAUGGCUCAGACAGUGAUCCCCUUAGAACGCAAAGACCCGUAGAAGGAUGCAAGACCAUUUUAUAUGGUCUGGCAUGGGGUGCAUCCGGCCCUGCAUAGCAC
rnacentral:lncRNA from 1 species